rnacentral:rRNA from 1 species
CAACGGAGGAAGGUGGGGAUGACGUCAAGUCAUCAUGGCCCUUACGGCCUGGGCUACACACGUGCUACAAUGGUCGGUACAAAGGGUUGCCAAGCCGCGAGGUGGAGCUAAUCCCAUAAAACCGAUCGUAGUCCGGAUCGCAGUCUGCAACUCGACUGCGUGAAGUCGGAAUCGCUAGUAAUCGUGAAUCAGAAUGUCACGGUGAAUACGUUCCCGGGCCUU